AAAGGAUCAAAGCUUUGAGCCUAGAAAAAUGGCCCUCAAAGAAAGAAGACGGGGGAGCUGCGGGACUCUUUGCGAAUUGCUGCCUCAGUCCUGCCAGUGCCGUGCUUUGAAAGUGAAAACCAUUUUCCGUCGAAACAAACAGCACAGGGUUUUAGCGUUUUGGAGCAGAAGACCUAUACAGUACACAGAGUCUUAUUGAUUGGUAGAGAGAGUGAGAGAGAGUGUAAAUGGGAGGGUUAAAUGGUCUAGUGAAGAAGGGUUUGGGAGAGAUGGGUUUCAACGCAGAGGGUGGAGUCGUUAACUGGUUUCCGGGACACAUGGCUGCUGCCACCCGCGCUAUCCGAACUCGUCUAAAGCUCGCCGACCUGGUCAUUGAAGUUCGCGACUCUCGCAUUCCUUUAUCCUCUGCACAUGGAGAUUUACAGCCUCAGCUAUCCUCCAAACGCCGCGUGAUUGCUCUCAACAAGAAAGAUUUAGCCAAUCCUAACAUAAUGCAUAAAUGGGUUAAUUAUUUCGAUUCUUGCAACCAGGAUUGCAUUCCAAUAAAUGCCCACAGCAAGAGUUCUGUUAAGAAGCUUCUUGAACUUGUGGAGUUCAAGCUGAAGGAGGUAAUUUCGAGGGAACCUACUCUCCUUGUUAUGGUGGUUGGUGUUCCUAAUGUUGGGAAAUCAGCUUUGAUAAAUUCUAUCCAUCAAAUAGCAUCUUCUCAUUUUCCCGGAGAAAUUGAAGCGAGCUACAGUUGGCCCAUUGCCUGGUGUUACUCAAGAUAUUGCAGGAUACAAGGUGAAGUUAUUCAUUUUAUGCUUUUUCAUCAUAGAAUUUACUGCUCUCGGUAUAUGCAUGCAUGUCUUUGUGAGUUUGUGCACAUAUACAUCUUUCUAUCAAUCUACCUAUUUCCAAGCACAUAUGUCUAAAAACACGUCCACAAAAGCAUGCAUAAACAAUCUCUUAUGGAUUUUUUAAAGAAUGAUUGUAUUACUAUUAGCUAUUCUCUUUGCAAUGGUUAGCAAAUCAUUGGCACAACCUUCAUAUUUUCAUGUCAGUGGCCCUUCUUUUCUUAUUAUUAAUAUUUUUGUACCUAUGUUUCUGACUCCUUGAGCAUUUAAUGUAAGUCUGUCAAGACAUUUCUUGGAUCUGUUACCUUGUAUACAAAUUUCUUGCAGCAAAUUUAGGUCUCAAGCUUCUGGAGGGCCUGUUUUAUUCCUCAGGGCUUUUUAAAAUAUAUGUUACUUGACUUGUUGGAUUCUUAUGUUUUUAUUGUUGAUGUGCAGAUUGCUCAUCAGCCUAGUAUAUAUGUUCUGGACACUCCAGGUGUAUUAGUGCCCAGUAUUCCAGAUAUUGAAACAGGAUUAAAGCUAGCUCUUGCAGGUUUAAACUUUUUUUUUUGGGCAUUCUAUUAAAUAACCUACCUUCCUUUAUUUAUUUGUUUAUUUCUUUAUGAGGAUGAGAAUAACAAUGUAGAUCUCUACAACUUUAAAAAUUUUUGAUCUUGUUGGGCCUUGUUUGUUAUUUUAUGGAAAAAUGAAUUACAAUGUGAAUCACAUGGUGCAUUCAAUAUCUUCUGAAAGUUUUGAUAUGGUUAGGCUUGCUUUGUUAUUUUGGGGAUCAAAUGAAUUACAUGGAAAAUAAUUCUGGUAAGCUUACUUACUCUGUGGAAAUGUAGUUGAUACCAUGCAGUGUUGCAACUCAAAUAUUAUUUUCAAGUACUUUUUCUGGGGUUGGUUUUGGGGAGGGCUACGCAGCUGCAGUAAAGUUAGAGUUUGUUAUAUUCCUCUCAUUUACCUCAUAAUGCAUACUUGCAUAAAAAGAAUGUAGAAUACAGGUGUUUUUAUUUGUUUCUCAUAGUGGAAUUGGCUGAUAAAAUAUCCAUAUUUGCAAUAUUUUUGGCACUUGUAAUGCCUAUGUGAUGUUUUCCCCAAAAAGUAUGGUUCUUCAAAAGUUGGGUUAACCCAUUCAGAACUGAUCAAAUGGAUUUGAUUCCAUUGGUCUGCUGUCUGUCUCUUUGGACAGAUUUUAUUGAUUUAGUUGAUGAUUGCUCAGAUUCAGUUUUUACUUUGAUACUAAUUGUAAACUGACGAACUGAAACUCUACUUCAAAUAGGUUCUCUUUUGAAAUGCAGCUUUCCCGUUGUGGGGUUUUUCACCGUUGCACACAUAUCACCACCAUGCACUUGGCUCUACCACCAUUGGCAACACCAUCAUUAACAUGUACAUAACUUUUGGGUUAUCAUUGACCCUAUCAGAACAUAUUGUCAUAAUUGGCACUACCAUCACCAAGUAUUGCCGCUACUAUCACCAUACUGAGCACACCUAAUCUACUAUCAUUAGCACUAACACUACCACCGUUACCACUAAUCAUCAUUAUAACUACUGCAACCACAUGACCAAUCUUGGCAUUACCACAAUCAUUUCCAUUAUCAUUGGCCUUGUUAUCACCCUAAAACUGCAAUGGAAUUCAAAAACUGUUUUCUAUAAUAAACAAGCAAGCCCUAACCUCAGGGAACUUCCAUCUACUCAUAUGCUACCAUCCAAUGAUUAUUCUCAUGGUCUACUGUAUUUUUAUCUAGAUAAAAAAAUAUAUUUGAAUGAAUAUGCAGGAUCCGUGAAAGAUUCUGUUGUAGGUGAAGAGCGCAUUGCUCAAUACCUGUUGGCUGUUUUAAAUACUCGAGGCACUCCACUUCAUUGGAGACACUGGAAUAACAGAAAAAUGGAAGGAAUUCGAUAUGAAUCUCAGGACAAACAUGAGUAUAAUCUUAAGGAUCUUCUGCCAAAGAGGAAGAAACCACCAAAUAUGUCAGAUGUGUUGUAUAUUGAGGAUCUUGUGACUGAAGUCCAAUGCGCAUUGUAUAAAACACUGGCAGAAUUCAAUGGCAGUUUGGAGGAUGAAAAUGAUUUGGAGAAUCUUAUAGAACAGCAGUUUGAAGUGCUAAAGAAGGCAUUGAAGAUACCUCAUAAGACAUCUGAAGCUCGUUUGAUGGUAUCAAAGAAGUUUCUUACUCUGUUCAGGACAGGCAAGCUAGGCCCCUUCAUCCUUGAUGACGUCCCUGAGGUCAACUCUGUACCAUAAGAUCUUCUGGAAUUCCUUUAAUUAAUUAAUCAAUUAAUUUUUCUCAAGCGCUUUAUAGGGUGCUGUACGUACUCUGCAACAUCACCCAUGCUUGCAACAUUGUAUUCCCCCUAUAAGGUAUGGUUUAGAUUCUGGUGUUAUUGCAGGUUAGGUAAUUGAACCGGCCAAA
rnacentral:misc_RNA from 1 species